UGACAAUGAUGAGCUCUUUAUCCCGAAGCUGAUCACUAUUGAUGAGAAAAUCUUUUUCGGAUCUGACUGCUGAGUU